CGGUGACGUCACGGGCCCGCCUCGCGCCCCGCGGUGACGUCACGCGGGGAAAAGGAGGUGGCUCCCGGGAGAAAAGGACGCUCCGGGAAGAUCUCGUCGCUCCGGGCGUCUCCCUGGCAGUAGCGGGUAGCCAUGUGCGGGACGGGCUCUGCUCCCAGGGAACCAGCGACGGGACGAGAGCACACGGCCUGAAGGGGAAGUUCAGGAGAGACACUGUCGCUGAACUCCAGGCGCUCCCAGCGCGGAACAUCAAGGCAGGAGGUGAGGACAAGGCUGUGCCCACCUGUGACUUUGGGAAAGAUGGACCAGCCAGUGGAGAGUCAAUGCAUUUUUUCCACUAUGACAAGAAUACCAAAGAUAAAAAAGGAGCCAGUGCCCCGCCUUGGCUGCUUGCAACCCCUCUCCAGUGCGGACAGAGCGCGGGCCCCGGGGCGAAACCGAACUGUCACUGUGUGAGGUAUUGUGAAAAUGGGAACCAUUUGUUUUGUCCAGCAAACCUGAGGUAAGUAUACCGUCUUUGCAGGAUGUGAUAAGGAAGGAAAGGGAAAAGAAAAAAAAAAAAGAAAGAAGGAAAAAAUAAAAUAAAAAAAAAUAAUCAUGAACACGCUAUUAGGAAAAAAAAAAACGACUGUACAGGGCAUUUCCAGUAAAUCAAAAGAACUCAUCAUAUCUCCACUUAACCAUCUACUUCAGGAUUUGAAAUUUAAGCAGUAAAAUAAUAUAUUAUAAAAAUGUUUAUAAAAUAGCAGCACACUCAGUGAAACAAUACAGCUAAGUACUGUUAAUGUGAAUAAGAAUGAAACAAAUCAUAGCUUCUUAGCAGCGCAAAAAAAAAACAAAACAAAACCAAAAAACCCCCCAAAACCAAAAAAAUCCCAACAAAACCUUAGAAUCUUACUCCAUUUUUCUACCCUCAUCUAGCCAAAUAUGGCUAAGUCCAUACAUAUAAUUUUCUUCGAAGUAGCAUGUUCUUUCUGGAUUUUUUUCUUAAAAAUGCAAACAUUAACAUUUCAAACCAACAGCUUCAUAUUGGAUAUCUGCAAACUGUUAAUACAUUUGUGCAAAAAAAAAAAAAAAAAAAACAGGUUGCUCCAACUCCUUUUGCCAUCUAAAUGCCUCUUUGUUACAGGUGGAGCAGGAAAAUAAAUUCAAGUACACUGAAUACACCUUUGUAAUAAAACUCCAAGUCACACACCUCGAUGUUUCCCAUCAUGUCUGUUGCACCAGGAAUGUUCUUGCCUUGUCCACAGAUGAGCAUGAAGGUGGUUAUUAAGAUCCUUCUGUGACACUGAACAAUACAGAUGGUCAGGCUUUUUUCCGGAAUGUCAUGACAGGAAUGUCAUCUGAAGUGGGUAUUGGUAUUUCCAGCAACACCUCAACUAACCAAGUACACCAAAUACUGGAAAAUAUUGACUAUAAAAAGCUAUAGGCCUUGUUUUUGUGUCUUCUUUCUCUUUUUUUUCCUUUUUUUUCUUUUUUUUUCUGUUUUUUUUUUUCCUCCUCGGCAGAAUUGUCAUAAACCAUCUCAUUUAAUCCCUUAGGAACAAUUUUCAAAGUGCUUUUCGAAUGAAAUGGUUUACAAAAAAUGCUCACUGUGGAUCAAUAAAGUUAAUGAAAUGCUGAAAAAGUGUGCGGGGGUGGUGGGGGAAGAUGGGAAGGUAGAUGAGGGAUCAAACCAAAUCUCAUCUUCUUUAACACAGUGAGGUUUAUGUCAAAAAGGAAGAUGGACAGAGCAUCAUUUAAAUGUCUUGAUGGCCAAGCUAAGAAGCUGCCAGAAGUUAACAUUGAUGUGAAGUAUUAGCACUGGAAAGGAAUAUAAUGCUUUUCAUAGAUGAUCCACCACAUCUUGCAAUCCAAAGGCUGGAGGUGGUCUAAUUAGAGCCAACCUCUUGGGAUUAAUUCAUGCAUUUCCCCCACUGAACAUCGACACUCGGUAACUUUGGCUUGGCCCACAGCUGGGUAAACAGAAUUGCCCUUAUGCCAAAGACGCUGCUGUGUUUAGAAUGAACCAUUUCUGAAGGAGAAGUAGAAAAAAGUCAAGAAGGGAGAGGGGAAGUCGAGAAAAAAAAGAAAAAAGAAAAAUAAAUCAACUAAAAAUAAAAACCAAAAAACACCUGCUCUUCUGGCUGGUAAAAUAAAGCAUCUUCUUUCUUAGGUAGCAGCUACCACAGACAGCAAGAGUAAACAAAACUAACAUACAGAGAUCCAACAAACACUUCUGACUAAUAACAGAGGUGACAGAUCAGCAAAUCUCUUCUGCAUUCAAAAUGGUUCAAUUGCUUUGGGGAUCUUUUCCCACUUUGCCCUAAACCCCUUAUUCUAUUGCUUUGCAAUCUAGUCAAGCCAUAAAAUCGCACACACGAUUCCUUUCUUAAAUCUAAAAAAGGGGUGUAUGCACUAGGUCAUAAUACACAGACAAGUAUACUCUACUUUCUUCCCACAAAUGCAGGCUUACAUUGAUCUAGCUACUUUGUAUGCUUUUAUAAGCAUUUAAUAUCACUGAUACAUAAUCAAAUAGCAAUUACCAAAUAUAUUGUGGGAUUCCCUUCUGUAGAACAUCACAGGCACCAAAUGCUUUUUUUUCAUUAUUCAGUUUUUGUUUUGUCUUUUUUUUGUUGUCGUUGUUUCUUUGUUUGUUUGGUUUUUUUUUGCCUAAAAGAGGUUUAAAUAUGCUCUAUGUGGGAGCAGAUUAAAAAAAAAAAAAUUCACUCUAAAAAUAAUAACAAAAAUAAACUGGGCUGGGAGGAGCAAGCGUGACUUUGUGUGGUGAUGUCCUCACAGGUUGAUAUCCCUCACAUCUGUGGGAGUGCUGGCCUGGUCCAGUUCAUCCACCGUCUUGGAAGGAUUGCUUUGCUGCUGCUGCUGCCGGACUUGCCGAAGGCUGUUUACUAGCACCGCUUCGAUCUGUUCCUGACAAGCUUUAAGGCAGUCCUAGACAGAAAGCAAAUUGAUGUGUUAGUGGAGACAAGGUUGCCCGGAGAGGCUGCAGAUGUCCAUCGCUGGAAGUGUUCAAGGCCAGACUGGGAUGGGCUCUGAGCAACCAGGGAGAGUGGAAGGUGUCCCUGCCUAUGGCAGGGGGUUGGAACUGGGUGACCUUCAAGAUCCCUUCCAACCCAGGCCAUUCUAUGAUUCUAUGAUUUGUGUGGUCGUCUUGAGCAGGAAAAAAAGCAAGGAAAUGAAGGGUAUAUGAUUUUUUUCAUUUUCCUAUGCAGGGUUAAGUUAUUUGAGAGGGAGCAGAGCCUGACCCCCACCUGGCUACAACUUCCUUUCAUGGAGUUGUAGAGAGUGAGAAGUCUCCCCUGAGCGUCCUUUUCUGCAGGUUUAACACUCCCAGCUCCCUGAGAUGCUCCUCAUAAGACUUACUCUCCAAACCCUUCCCCAGCUCUGUUGCCCUUCUCUGGACACACUGGUACUGGCUCCUCCAGUGCCCAGUACAGAAGGGCAAUCCCUGCCCUGGUCCUGCUGGCCACACUGCUGCUGGCAGAAUUUGUUCUCUGAGCACAUUCUAGAGAAGAAAAGUGAUUUCAGCAGCAAAGGAGGAGGAAAUGUAGGGUGUGCUCUUCACUCUGAGAGCAGGACUGUUUUAACAGCCCUAGGAAUAGUUAUUGGCAAUAAUUCAUAGAAGACAAUAAAGCAAAGACUAGAUACUAGAAAAAUAUGUAAGUCAAAAACACACAGCCAAGCCUCAGAAGCCACUGUAUUUCAAACUAUACUACAUAACACUCAGAGAAACAGCAGGAUACACAAAUGUGGGAACCCUGAGCAUCAGGAGUCCGACAAUAAACAUGAGGGCAUAAAUACAGAAAUAAUUGAGAAGGAUUCACCACCCUUAAACUUGACACAGCAUUAAGAAGAUGACUAUUAAAAUAUUUACGGGAUGUUCCAUAUUCUUGAUGACACGCUGGAAGACCAAAUAAUAUGGUUUAAAAAAAAAGGCGUGAGAAAACAUUGACAAACAAUAAUAGCAGAAAUUGAAAAAUAAAACCCAAGCUGUGACUGUAUAAACACAAUUACAUGCGGUGGGCUGGGAGUAUCAAUAUGACACUGUGCAGGUUGCCACGUGGUGCUGUGUGUGAUAAAUGGCAUUUUCUAAAAGCAGUCCUUCUACAACACUGGAAAAGGUACUAACACUGCAAAAACUUCCUGCAGUCUCAGUCUGCCUGAGAGAUGGGACUCUCCCAAAAACUUCAGAGAGCAGAGGAACACAGGUUUUGGAAGGAGGAUUUUUACAGCACAGCCCUGGCAGGGGCAGUGAGACUCAGCAUCACCAUUGCCACUUUCAGGCAGAGGAGCUGAAGAGCAGAGCUGGACACUGAACUCCACAGGGUUCCAUAGGUGCUUGGGAAUCCUCUGUGGGAUGCCACAGCAUUGCUGGGGAGAUGGGCUCUGACCAACACCCCCCACUUUCCCAAUGUAACAUCAGGUUAUUUUGGAGAUGUUCGACAUAUUCAUGCAUGGAGGUUUGAUUUGUCUGGGGAAACAUGCCAAGGGAGGAGGAUCUCUCCUGCUGAUUACACUGAUGCUUGUGAUGGGUGCAAUUAGCUUGUGAACACCCAUUUUUCUUGGCUCCUGUCCUCUCCUUGUCCUGAAACUGGCAAAAGCUACCAGAAACUCAGCUAAAAAAAAAAAUCCUCUGUUAUUAGCAUGGGCAGGUUUUAAGUCCAUCGUAACCUGUAAGAGGGCAAUGGCAAAAAAUCACUUCAUGGGUCAAGACAUUUUUCAGUGUGGGGGCACCCGUUUGGAGACUCUUGUAACAGACUACACUCCUAAUGCACUUUUUUUUUUUUGUUAUAAGAAUCCUUUCUUUUAAAGCACAGUGGUGCACAAUUUCAAAAUAUUUUGUCCUCCUGAAAACAAGCCAGAUUUUUUUAAAGCAGCUUCAGACUGAAAAGCUUAAUGAGGCAAUUUCCUUGCAGCCAGGCCUGGGGAAGGAAGGGUGGUGACAGGAGGAACAUGAGGCUUGAGCAUUUGGAGUCCGCUUUGUCAGUUCCUAAACACCCUUAGAUAUGAUCAUUUACACCAUUACUAUACAAACUUCUGAUGGGCAACAUGAUGAUUCAUUUAAUGUAUGAAGAUGCUAAAAUCUCUAGGUAGCCCUAUGGAGAAAUCGGGUCAUUUCUUAUGUCUUCAUUUUGUACAUAAAAUCAAUUAAGGGGCCUCGACUGGAAUUGCCACAUGGAUUUUAUUUCAUAUGGGAAUCCACAGGCCACUGUGUAUUAUUUCUCUGGUCUAUACUUUUGUUUUGAACCUAAAAUAAUGUACCACUGAACUCUUUAAAACAAUGAAACUUGUGGUAAAAUGACCAGCACACUGCAUUCAGCAUGAAAUAGCUUCCCAAAAAAGUGUUUCCAUUUGCAUACUAAAGCUCCUUGGAUAUUAAUCUCACAGGUGAAAGGAAAAAACCCCCUAAUUUACAGUAUAUUACCAGCCCAGUUGUCAUAGUGUGAUAAGGCAAGUGGCUUUAUUUUAUGAAUGGGGGCACCACUGGAACUUUCUGUCAAUUCAAAGUUCAGUGACAUACAAAAUACAAAAAAGCCAUCAGGACAAACAACCUGGCAUUCCCAUGACACAGCUUUUUUAACCCUUCCUAGUUUCAUGGGGAUCUGCUGUAUGUGUACAUAUUUUACUAGUGGGCUUUCAUUUUGCUCUAGAUCGCCCUGACAAGAGAAAAUUAAAGCUUUACAAAUGUAUCAAAGAAAUAAAACAUGAAUUGCAUUGUUUUCAGCAAAUCUUCCUUGAAAGAACACUGUAAUGCACUGCAGCAGUGGCCCCAGAUUUUCCAAUAAAGGGACUGGGCCAUUCCUUCAGAAUACUGCAGGGUUGCCUUUGUUGUUUUUUAUAAAAAACUUUAAGUGUGUGUCACAUGGAUUAACUUCCCCAUUCUUCUAUAUGGUCUAGUAGUUUUAAUGAUUAAAAUAGUUCUGGUACUUUCCA